rnacentral:rRNA from 1 species
CAGUCGCCGCGGUAAUACGUAGGUGGCAAGCGUUGUCCGGAAUUAUUGGGCGUAAAGGGCUCGCAGGCGGUUUCUUAAGUCUGAUGUGAAAGCCCCCGGCUCAACCGGGGAGGGUCAUUGGAAACUGGGAAACUUGAGUGCAGAAGAGGAGAGUGGAAUUCCACGUGUAGCGGUGAAAUGCGUAGAGAUGUGGAGGAACACCAGUGGCGAAGGCGACUCUCUGGUCUGUAACUGACGCUGAGGAGCGAAAGCGUGGGGAGCGAACAGGAUUAGAUACCCCCUGUAGUCCCUGUCUCUUAUU